rnacentral:lncRNA from 1 species
CUCAGUUUCCCCACGAGCACAAGGAGGCGUUUACUCCCCUUUGCAGGUUCGGCAGUUCCGUGACCUCGGAGCACCCUCCGCCACAGCUCCACCUAGCCCUGGCCGGAAUACAAACCGAGGCCUGGGAGGGAGUUCUGGGACUUUGACCACCUGCCACCGCUGUCUUCCUCUGUGGGUCUCUGGGAAGCCUCUGAGUCUCACAUUCCACUGCUCAGGCCUGGGAGGUGGCUACUGUCAGGUUAUUUCACUUCUGGGACGUCGGAGAUUUUAACAUCUGAUUUCUUCCCUGUACGGAUGGAAAAACUGAGGCCCAGACUAGGGAAGGAAACUCCCAUCCAAGUUCUCUCAGACCAGAAACUUUUUGAUGAGAAUCAUCUAUGUUUGAAGGACAUCCCACUGGACAACAGGAAUAUUUCCACAACUGAUAUUGCAGAGUGGACCACAUCUUUACUAUCACAAAAUUGACUGGAAGAUAGAGAGAAUUUGAGACUCCACUGCUGGACUAGAAUGACUACUGAGGUCUCUUCUGAUUCUCAAAUUCUGUGACUGUUCUUCUGUGGAAUUACUGGGUCAAAGGGUAUGGACCCCCCAAAAGGUUAGUCACCUUUCUUGCAUAAUUUCACAUUGAUACCCAGAAGGUCUGCACCAAUUCCCAACUCCACCCACCUAGCUUUAGUGUCUAGAUCAAUGGUGGUGAACCUUUUAGAGAACUUGUGCUUUUGCUCCACCCCACUUACUGUAUGC